ensembl:snRNA U6 U6 spliceosomal RNA
GCCCUCCCUUUGGCAGCAUGUAUACUAAAAUUGGAAUGAUACAAAGAAGAUUAAAUUGGUUCCUGCACAAGGAUGACAUGCAAAUUCGUGAAGCAUUCCAUAUCUUA